AAUAUUGGACAAUGGGGGCAACCCUGAUCCAGCCAUGCCGCUUGUGUGAAGAAUGUCUCAGGAUUGUAAAUCAUUUUAUGGUGGAAGGUAUGGCUUUAGGUUAAUACCCUGAAGUUUUGACGUUCGCAACUGUAUAAGCAUCGGCUAACUCAGUGCCAGCGUCCGCGGUAAUACAGAGUGUGCAAGCGUUAGUCGCAAUUACUGGGCGUGAAGCGCGCGUAGGUGGUUCAGUAAGAUGGGUGUGAACUCCCCGGGCUUAACCUGGGAACUGCUUUCAUAACUGCUGAGCUAGAGUACGGUAGAGGGUAGUGGAAUUUCCUGUGUAGCGGUGAAAUGCGUAGAUAUAGGAAGGAACACCAGUGGCGAAGGCGACUACCUGGACUGAUACUGACACUGAGGUGCGAAAGCGUGGGGAGCAAAC
rnacentral:rRNA from 1 species